UACGUAGGGACCAAGCGUUGUUCGGAUUUACUGGGCGUAAAGGGCGCGUAGGCGGCGCGGUAAGUCACUUGUGAAAUCUCUGAGCUUAACUCAGAACGGCCAAGUGAUACUGCAGUGCUAGGGUGCAGAAAGGGCAAUCGGAAUUCUUGGUGUAGCGGUGAAAUGCGUAGAUAUCAAGAGGAACACCUGAGGCGAAGGCGGGUUGCUAGGCUGACACUGACGCUGAGUGCGCGAAAGCCAGGGGAGCAAACGGG
rnacentral:rRNA from 1 species